UACGUAGGGUCCGAGCGUUGUCCGGAAUUACUGGGCGUAAAGAGCUCGUAGGUGGUUUGUCGCGUUGUUCGUGAAAACUCACAGCUCAACUGUGGGCGUGCGGGCGAUACGGGCAGACUAGAGUACUGCAGGGGAGACUGGAAUUCCUGGUGUAGCGGUGGAAUGCGCAGAUAUCAGGAGGAACACCGGUGGCGAAGGCGGGUCUCUGGGCAGUAACUGACGCUGGAGGAGCGAAAGCCGUGGGGAGCGAACAGGG
rnacentral:rRNA from 1 species